UCAAACAUAGUGUAAACAGCACCUUAAAAUUUGAUUUUAAAAGAGGGAACAUCCUGCCGUUA
rnacentral:tRNA from 1 species